rnacentral:tRNA from 2 species
GAAGAGGUAGCUCAGUGAUGAAGAGCACUGCUUAUAAUUCAUGAGGACCUGGGUUCAAUCCUCAGCAUCUACC